AAGUACAGUUGUAUAAUCAAGUAGUCUGUUGUUGUUCAACUUGUACAGUACAUUAUUUUCACGAAAUAUGCUAAGUUAAUUAUUAUUUCUCUAAAUCAUUUGAAGAAUCGAGUUGUAUCAGCAACAAUACGUUGAAUUGCUGAGCAAGACAUCCAACAGCUGUAGGCCUAUGUCUACUAGGAGGAUGGUGGUUAACCUGCUUGCCACAAAGUUUUUUUUUCAUUGGGGGACCGAGCAAGGCAGAUUUUGGAAAGGCUAAACCAAACAAGUGCAUCUCUUGGUGGAUUGCUGAACAGCAUGGGUGAAAGAUUUCUACAACAGUACAUCUACAGCAGAUGUAACUACAGUAGUAACUAGGAGGAUGGUGGUUGAACUAAUUGCUACAACAUUUUUCCAUUCAGAAAAAAAUAUGGGGACCGAGCAAGGCUAAACCAAACAAAUGCAAAUGUUGAUAGUAAAAACCUGCCGUUGGAAUGGAUCGAGUUGAUGAGAUUUACGCCUUUCAUGCCAUUCCCCAUUUAUGUCUUGGAACUUUUCAGUCAAACUUACAUCAUCAUCAUGAAAAUGUUUAAUACAUACCACAGAGCUUGCAUUGGGUUCCCAAUCUGUUCUAGAAAUUGCACGAAUCCACGCCCUACACAAUUCAGGAUUCUUCGGGAAAGAAAAUGUACUAGUAACGGGUACACUUCCAUAUCUGUUGGCACUAAUAUCGAAUGAGUACUUUUUAUAUCGAACGAGUACUUUUUAUCGAUAUAUCGAUUAAUCGAUAUAUAACCUAACCUAACUAAUUAAACUAUCGAAUGAGUACUUUUUAUCGAUAUGUCGAUUGUUCGAUAUAUCGAUAAAAAGUACUCGUUCGAUAUUAGUGCCAACAGAUAUGGAAGUGUACCCCUAGUAACUCCUUCAUCUUUUACAUUAUUUCUAUAAUUUGAUUUGCAAACAGGAACAACACAUGCUUGAGGCAUCUCAACAUCACUUUAUUACUUGUACUUCAUACAGUGCCGGAUUUGGGGUACUUGCGGCCCUAGGCCAAAUUACUUGAGCGGCCCUCCCCCUGUGGUGAAAAUUCCUUGCGAUCGCGGAAGUAAUAGUGACUAUCUCCUAUACAUCAAGGGAACAUCAUCAUCGGCCCCCGUGAUCCUGGAUGAAAUCAUGGACAUCUCUCCUAAGCCAAGUCAAAGCCAUCAUAGUUAUCCGGGACCGCAGUAAAAUCGUGAAUAUCUCCCACGGGCCGCAAUCACGGGGACAUCAUCAUCGAAACUUGCGAUCGUGGCAAAGUCGUGUUAAAAACCUCUCCCGUGGACUGCGAUCAUGACGACUUCAUCAUUGUCACCCGCGGCCGCGGCUAAAUCGUGAACGUCUCCUUCGGGCUGCGAUCAUAAGGACACAUCCCCGUCACCCGCGGCCGCGGCUAAAUCGUGAACGUCUCCUGCGGGCUGCGAUCAUUAAGGACACAUCCCCGUCACCCGCGGCCGCGGCAUAAUCGUGAACAUCUCUCUCAGUCCACGGAGACAUCAUUAUGGUCACCUGUGAUCGUGGUAACUGGUGGUUUAAUUAAUUUUUUUUUAUUUUAUUUUAUCUAAACAAAUGUUUUUUCCCAAUCCUCUGCGGCCCCCUUUUGCUC